rfam:Clostridium sp. CAG:793 genomic scaffold, scf49
AAAAAUAAUUUAUAUAAGCCAUAGACAGUAGGCAUACAAUAAGUCCUACCGAGGCAAAUACGAGAGAAUGCAAAUUCAAUCUAUUUAGCCUCGAAUGGCUAUGUAGGUUGAAUUUUCUUUUUAUUGU